AACGAACGCUGGCGACAGGCUUAACACAUGCAAGUCGAACGCCCCGCAAGGGGAGUGGCAGACGGGUGAGUAACGCGUGGGAAUCUACCCAUCUCUGCGGAAUAGCUCUGGGAAACUGGAAUUAAUACCGCAUACGCCCUACGGGGGAAAGAUUUAUCGGGGAUGGAUGAGCCCGCGUUGGAUUAGCUAGUUGGUGGGGUAAAGGCCUACCAAGGCGACGAUCCAUAGCUGGUCUGAGAGGAUGAUCAGCCACAUUGGGACUGAGACACGGCCCAAACUCCUACGGGAGGCAGCAGUGGGGAAUAUUGGACAAUGGGCGCAAGCCUGAUCCAGCCAUGCCGCGUGAGUGAUGAAGGCCUUAGGGUUGUAAAGCUCUUUCACCGAUGAAGAUAAUGACGGUAGUCGGAGAAGAAGCCCCGGCUAACUUCGUGCCAGCAGCCGCAGUAA
rnacentral:rRNA from 1 species